AAUAAGGAUGUCAGCAGCUUUCUAGAAACCACUGCUGACGUGGAAGAGAUCACUGGAGAAGGACUCACUGCUUCUGGUAGUGGUGAUGUCAUGAGGAGACGUAUUGCUACCCCAGAAGAAGUUCGUCUUCCCCUCCAACAUGGGUAAAUGCUCUAGUUUGCUACAUUUAUUGACCUUGACAAGUUUAAUGCACAACUCUAGAAAGAAGGGAAUGCCUCUUUUCCUCUGAGGUGGGGGAGGAAUGGGCCAGACAAGAGUAGAUUACAGGACAGUUAUCUGCAGUGAUAAUGUUUCUUGGCAUGAGAUUCCUAGGUUUUCCUUCUUCUCUCAAGGUCUGUCUUCCAUCACCUAUUCUUUUUUCAUCUUGUAGUGACUCAAUUUUGCCCAAGGAGCUCCAGCUAUUAUCUUUUCCAAACCCUAG
rnacentral:lncRNA from 1 species